ACCAACAGCAGUUCCAGCACCAGCAACAGAAGACCCAUCACCAGCUCCAGGUCCAUCAUCAGCAUCAGCAACAGAGGCCCUGGGCCACUCUGUCAUUCCAAAAGGACUUGUGGAGCGCUGCUCCUUCCAAAGCCCCCAGAAGUUCAUAAAUGAUCUCCUACAUGGGAUGUAUACCAGGGAAUAUAUGGCAGGCCAUUCAGUGACUGGCCAGUCAUCCAGCAGCUGCACAGAAGGAAAACCUGGCCUAGCCAAACAGGACCUUGUUGAAAUAACAAAUGCUGCAAAGUUGAAGUUCACCUACGUAACUGAUACGAACAUAAAAGCAUUUAUACGACAAAAGCUGAACAAUGCUGCCAAAUUUCAGAAACAAUAAAUGAUCAACUGUUAA